rnacentral:rRNA from 1 species
UACAGAGGUCUCAAGCGUUGUUCGGAUUCACUGGGCGUAAAGGGUGCGCAGGUGGUCGGGUAAGUCUGAUGUGAAAUCCCGCAGCUCAACUGCGGAAUGGCAUUGGAUACUAUUUGGCUAGAGGGUUGGAGGGGGGACUGGAAUUCUCGGUGUAGCAGUGAAAUGCGUAGAUAUCGAGAGGAACACCAGUGGCGAAGGCGAGUCCCUGGACAACUCCUGACGCUGAGGCACGAAAGCUAGGGGAGCAAACAGG